rnacentral:tRNA from 1 species
GCCGACGUAGCUCAGUUGGUAGAGCAGCGGUUUUGUAAACCGCAGGUUGUAGGUUCGAGUCCUAUCGUCGGCU